CCUCGAAUCAGGUGGGACUACCCGCUGAACUUAAGCGUAUCAAUGAGCGGAGGAAAAGAAACUAACAGGGAUUCCCCUAGUAACGGCGAGUGAAGCGGGAUGAGCUCAAAUUUAAAAUCUGAUAGUCUUUGGCUGCCCGAGUUGUAAUCUAGAGAAGUGUUUUCCGCGUUGGACCAUGUACAAGUUUCCUGGAACGGAACGUCAUAGAGGGUGAGAAUCCCGUCCUUGACAUGGACUACCAGUGCUUUGUGAUACACUCUCAACGAGUCGAGUUGUUUGGGAUUGCAGCUCAAAAUGGGAGGUAAAUUCCUUCUAAAGCUAAAUAUUGGCGAGAGACCGAUAGCGAACAAGUACCGUGAGGGAAAGAUGAAAAGCACUUUGGAAAGAGAGUUAAACAGUACGUGAAAUUGUUAAAAGGGAAACGAUUGAAGUCAGUCGCGUUUACUUGGACUCAGCCUUACCUCGGUUUGGUGCAUUUCCUUGUGAACGGGCCAGCGUCAAUGUUGUCCGUUGGAAAAGGGUUGGAGAAAUGUGGCUCUUUCGGGAGUGUUAUAGUCUCUGAUCGUAUACAACGGCUGAUAUUGAGUGGUACAGCAUGCUUCGGCGGUGCUUGUGCUGGCAUAAU
rnacentral:rRNA from 1 species